GUUCGACUCGAGCGCCAGCGAGAAAGCGUUGCCGCAGGCAACGACCCGAAGGGCGAAGCGCGCAGCGCUGAGUAAUCCUUCCCCCACCACCA
rnacentral:sRNA from 1 species